CCUGCGGCUGGAUCACCUCCUUAAUCGACGACAUCAGCUGCUCCAUAAGUUCCCACACGAAUUGCUUGAUUCAUUGAAGAAGACGAAAGAAGCAGCCCGAAAUUGGGUCUGUAGCUCAGUUGGUUAGAGCGCACCCCUGAUAAGGGUGAGGUCGGCAGUUCGAAUCUGCCCAGACCCACCAAUUUUGUGUGGGAAACGCCUGUAGAAAUACGGGGCCAUAGCUCAGCUGGGAGAGCGCCUGCCUUGCACGCAGGAGGUCAGCGGUUCGAUCCCGCUUGGCUCCACCACUACUGCUUCUGUUUGUAUAAAGCUUAGAAAUGAGCAUUCCAUCGUGUCGAUGGUGAAUGUUGAUUUCUAGUCUUUGACUAGUUCGUUCUUUAAAAAUUUGGGUAUGUGAUAGAAAGAUAGACUGAACGUUACUUUCACUGGUAACGGAUCAGGCUAAGGUAAAAUUUGUGAGUUCUCUUAGUUGAGAAAUUCGAAUUUUCGGCGAAUGUCGUCUUCACAGUAUAACCAGAUUGCUUGGGGUUAUAUGGUCAAGUGAAGAAGC
rnacentral:tRNA from 1 species